rnacentral:rRNA from 1 species
AUUGAACGCUGGCGGCAGGCCUAACACAUGCAAGUCGAGCGGAUGCAGGGGGCUUGCUCCCGCAUGCAGCGGUAGACGGGUGGAUAAUGCCUAGGAAUCUGCCUGGAAGCGGGGGAUAAGGUGCUAAAACGGGCGCAUAUACCCCAAACGUCCUGAGGGCGAAUGUGGGGGAUCUUCGGAUCUCACGCCUUUAUAUUAGCGUAGGUCCGAUUAGCUAGUUGGCGGGGUAAAGGCCUACCAAGGCGACGAUCCGUAACUGGUCUGAGAGGAUGAUCAGUCAGACUGGAACUGAGAAACGGUCCAGACUCCUACGGGAGGCAGCAGUGGAGAAUAUUGGGCAAAGGGCGAAAGCCUGAUCCAGCCAAACCGCGUGAGUGAAGAAGGACCUCGGAUUGUAAAGCACUUAAGGUUGGAAGGAAGUGAAGCAAGUUAAUACCGUGCUGUUUUGACGGUACCAACAGAAUAAGCUCCGGCUAACUUCGUG